GUCCGACUGACGAGUCCAAAAUAGGACGGAACGCGCGUCCUUGAU
rfam:Schistosoma haematobium scaffold511_15, whole genome shotgun sequence.